rnacentral:rRNA from 1 species
AGAGUUUGAUCAUGGCUCAGGAUGAACGCUAGCGGCAGGCCUAAUACAUGCAAGCUGAACGGCAAGAUUUAUAGCAAUAUGAAUCCUAGAGUAGCGUAAGGGUGCGUAACACGUAUGCAAUCUACCCUCAACAGGAGGAUAGCUCCCCGAAAGGGGAAUUAAGACUCCAUAAGAUGAAGUGGUGGCAUCAUCAUUUUAUUAAACUACCAGGGGUUGAGGAUGAGCAUGCGUCUGAUUAGUUAGUUGGCGGGGUAACGGCCCACCAAGACGAUGAUCAGUAGGGGAACUGAGAGGUUGGUCCCCCACACUGGCACUGAGAUACGGGCCAGACUCCUACGGGAGGCAGCAGUAGGGAAUAUUGGACAAUGGGUGCAAGCCUGAUCCAGCCAUGCCGCGUGCAGGAAGAAAGCCUUCUGGGUUGUAAACUGCUUUUUUCUGGGGAUAAAAUAGUCUUGCGAGACGAAUGAAAGUACCAGGAGAAUAGCCC